GCAGUGGGGAAUAUUGGACAAUGGGCGAAAGCCUGAUCCAGCCAUGCCGCGUGUGUGAAGAAGGUCUUCGGAUUGUAAAGCACUUUAAGUUGGGAGGAAGGGUUGUAGAUUAAUACUCUGCAAUUUUGACGUUACCNNCAGAAUAAGCACCGGCUAACUCUGUGCCAGCAGCCGCGGUAAUACAGAGGGUGCAAGCGUUAAUCGGAAUUACUGGGCGUAAAGCGCGCGUAGGUUGUUUGUUAAGUUGAUGUGAAAUCCCCGGGCUCAACCUGGGAACUGCAUUCAAAACUGCCUGACUAGAGUAUGGUAGAGGGUGGUGGAAUUUCCUGUGUAGCGGUGAAAUGCGUAGAUAUAGGAAGGAACACCAGUGGCGAAGGCGACCACCUGGACUAAUACUGACACUGAGGNGCGAAAGCGUGGGGAGCAAACAGGAUUAGAUACCCUGGUAGUCCACGCCGUAAACGAUGUC
rnacentral:rRNA from 1 species